UCAGGUGGUUAUUGCGGUGGGGUCCCACCUCUUCCCAUUCCGAACAGAGAAGUUAAGCCCACUUGCGCCGAUGGUCCCAUUCCGAACAGAGAAGUUAAGCCCACUUGCGCCGAUGGUACUGCAAUGCAAUGCGGGAGAGUAGGUAGCCGCCUCCU
rnacentral:rRNA from 1 species